CUGCUCAUUCAAAAUCAGAUACAGAUGAAGUAACACUGUAAGAUUACAUUUGUUUGACUGCGUUAUUGUGAAAGCGAUUGCGUGUGAAUGUGCUGUAUCUGUUUAAAUCAUGCUUUCACUCGAAAAUAUUCAGUAGAAGGGAACAAACAAAUUCCUUGAGAACUAGCCUAUAACUUCCCGCUCGUCAUCAUAACCUUCUGAUUUGAGUGAUCCAUCUGUAUCAAGCUAGCUAAAUAUGUUUAAUGUGUGAAUUUUUGCAAAAUAUGCUGUUAUACUACGGGCCGUUGGCAUGAAUUGGACUCGUGGUGGAGCGGUGCUGGAGCGAGUGAAAACCACGACACUUCAACUUUUAAAAAUCCGCUCCUCGCUCCAGUCAAAAUUAUACCGCUCCACCCCGCUCACAUACUCUGGCUCAAAGUAAUCAGAUUCACUCAUUAUUUCAUAUUCAGUGUUUUCAGUCUCUUCUCUGAUCAUCUUUCUGGUUCUGGUUCUUCUGGUUCUGAUCAUCACUGGUCUCUUAUUACUGUUUCUCUAUAAGAAGCAUCAGUCUCGAGGCGGUGAUUCGUCAUCUCAGACUGGAGCAGGAAAACAUGAAGCAGUUUCUCACACUGGAUAUGUUUAUGAUGAGAUUAAAGACACUCACA